UACGUAGGGGGCAAGCGUUGUCCGGAAUCAUUGGGCGUAAAGCGCGUGUAGGCGGCUCGGUAAGUCUGCUGUGAAAGUCCAGGGCUCAACCCUGGGAUGCCGGUGGAUACUGUCGAGCUCGAGUCCGGAAGAGGCGAGUGGAAUUCCUGGUGUAGCGGUGAAAUGCGCAGAUAUCAGGAGGAACACCAAUGGCGAAGGCAGCUCGCUGGGACGUGACUGACGCUGAGACGCGAAAGCGUGGGGAGCAAACAAG
rnacentral:rRNA from 1 species